CAGGGCCUCUGGGCCCCAGGAAGGAUGAAAAGGACGUGGAGACAACGGGAGGCUCCAGAUGGGGUAGCCCUCCGGCAGCUCCCCUCCCUCCUGCAGGGGCUGCGGCUCGGACACCCCGGGACUGGCCAGGUCAGAGGGCGAGGAGGCUAUGUUUGCUUUUGUUCAUUGUGUCCCCCCGGGGGAGACCUGGGACUUGCUCAGGAGAGAGGGGAGAAGCUUGGGGUGAGAACGCGGGUAGGAAGGGAGUGGGGCUGGGUGGCCAGGCAUCAUCUUGCUCCCUGGGGCUGCAAACUGUUAAGGCUUAGGAGGAGGGAGCACUGCUUUCUGUCCUGUGGUCUCUGCUGAAGGCAGUGAGGAGCCCACCUGUAGGGGGAGCGGUUCUGGGUCAGAGGAGGGGACUCCCAACUCCUGCAGGUACUGCCUUCCCAGAGGCUGGGGCCCUCUUCCUGCGGAACUGUCCCGGGCCCUUGGCCCUCCUUAUGGAGGAGGCUGGGUAGGGGACCCAGGUCUGACGCAGAUGACAAGAGCAGCAUUGUGAGGGCAGUUAGUGCCACAGGCACCUUGAAUGAAGGCCAAAGCCAGACACUUCACCUGGAGAGAUCGGGUUCCCUGGAGUCGGGAUGGAAUGUGAGCCUCCUGUAAGUGGUGGAAUGUUGGAGAAAACGAGAGCCUCUGAAACCUACGGAGACUUAGCUGGACCUGCUGACUUCGGGGUUGAGCCCUCUGAGAUUGAGGAAAUGUACGGGGAGAUGAGUAGCAGACAGCACUUCCCCACCCCAUGGAGACCACCCCGGGGAGGCGUGACCCCGACCCGACUGACCGACCCAGUCAGUGCAGGCACUUGCAAGGGGGAGGGAGAGGAAGCACGUCUUUCCUGAAGACCGGGUACCAGCCGGAGGGGCUCCUCCCGAAAAGGCAACACAGAUAGUGACCCAGCUGUCAGCCUGUUCCAGAUCCUCUCCACCCCGCUGAGACCCGCCCUCUGUCCGCCCACGUCCUGCAGACUUCCGGCUGGCCCCGGCCCACCCGCAAACCCCGCCCUGGUGCCAGGAGGAGCCAGGUGCCCAGAUUUCCACCCACGUUACACACUAGGCCUCGGGACUCCGGCUGAAGAAAGUCCGCGGGGAGCAGGUGUAAGAAUGGCCAAGAAGUUGGGAGUAACAGCUGUUCCCCGACAGGAUGGGUCGAGUCCUCGCCCCCGCCCCCUGGGAGCCAGGCGGCAGCCCCGUGCCCUCUGGGACUUACUGUGUGACAGCCUGUGUCCUCCGGAUGUCACGAGAUUGUUUACUUAGAGGACCUCCGAGGACCCCACGCGGUAAAAGGAGGCAGUGUCCUGUCCCCCUGUGUUCUCGGGGUUUGGGGCCCAGCCCGGAGGGCAGGCCGCCCUCUCACCUCGAGGAAUUUAGAGCUGGGACCCACUGACUGGAUCCCCUAAGUAAUCCCCUCAUUUCAUAGAUCAGGGAGGGACGCGGAGUGCGGGCCCCACGGCAGGAGGCCUCUAGCGCAUCUGAGGUCCGCACCGUACAGAUGAGGACUCCAGGCCGACAGGUGGCUCUGAGGCUCCGAUGGUGAGACUUUUCCACCAGGCCACAGGGCCCAGAGGAGGAGGGCCGGAGGGCCACCAGGUCAGCGGCGUGUCCCCUGCCCUGGGGAAGUCAGCCCACAGAAGCCGGGAUGGGGAAGGGGAGUGGAGCCCAGCGGGUAGCCCGGGAAGCCCGCCCUCCGGGCCCUAGUAAUCGCCCCUCCCCCGCUGUAACCUGCCUCUUAAAGGCACCAGCAGCGGCAGCAGCAGUUUGGAAGCCAAAUUCCAGAGAGGGCAAAGACCUCCCUGACCCCAGGAGGCCCCCACUGUCAAGUAGGUUUCCAGCCGACUUCCCUGGGAUGCCCUCGUUCUCCCCUCCUCAGCUCACACCCUCUCACACCCUGCCCCACCUGAGAGAGGGUGAAGGUUCCCGGGACCUGGGGCUCCCACAUAGUGCCCCUUCAGGGGGACCCCAACUCGGCCCCUUGUACCCGUUUCCACCCGAGCCCCAGUCCAGCGGCCGUGCUUUGUUCUGGAAGUGCUGAGGACCCCCAGACCCACGAUGGCACCCAAGGGGUUAAACAGGUCUGGGCACAGCAAGGUCUAGGGUGUUUGAAGUAGGGCGGGGAAGGGAAGGGCUGGGGCAGUUGAAGAGGCGGCUGGUCUGGACUGGACCGGAGGGCCCCCUGUCUCCUAUGCACACUCCUGGACCAUGAGCAGUGCCCUUAAAAGGACCAAGAGAGGCGCCCCCGCUGAGGUGCUAGACUGGGUUCUUAGAGGGGCUCCCUGAGGAGGGGCUCUUCCCUGUACCGAAGUCACCAGCCGGGAGCAGGAGCAGGGCCGGGUCUUUGGGAAAUCUCCCAGGUCUGGUGAGUUCCCCCCUCCCUCCCCGGGGUCCUCGCCCCCACGAGUGGGCGUCCCCCAGGAGGCAGAGCUCCUCAGGAACCGUCCUCACCCAGGAAGGCGCCGAACCCUUCGCAGCUUCCCCACCAGCCUGCUGCAGCCAGCUCCCGUUUUUAAUUAGAGAGCAUUGGGGGAGGGUGCCAGUGUGUAAACCGGGAAUCGCAAGCGCGGCCAAGAGUAAUUUACCCCACUCGUGGGACAGAUGAUACUAAACCCUCUAUACACGUUCCUAAUCCUUACGAUCGCAUGGGGUUGACAUACCAUAAUCCCUAUGUUAAGGAUGAGGUUUAGAGAAGUUAAAUAACUAACCCCAGACAAUUAAGUAAAUUGUAGCGCUGGGGGUUCAGACCUCAGUCCAUCUGACACCAAAGUCCAUUACGUCAUCGUGUUAUCUUGUUCUUACUCGGGAGGUAUGGGAGGCAGGAUGGCUCUGUGAGCCUAAAACCUUGAGACCCUCAUUCAUUUAGAGCCUCCUUCCUCUAGGGCCUCACCCAGUUCCCUUUGUCCUUGGGAAUUACUUGGGAGAUUUAAGGGGCCACCAGUUCACGCCUGAGAGCUAGGGACGCCCAGAUUCCAGACCACUCCAUCCGCCAGCCGAAGGCUUCCCUGUUCUACCUGCCGCGCUCGGCCGUCCCUGAGACCUGAUGGGUUAAUUCCCUGGGACGCUUUGAGUGGCCAAAGUCUUCUCAGGCGUGUCCCUUUGAACCUCAGACCCUCUCCUGCCCCGCCCGCUGGCAGGCGCCCUGAACCCCUGAAUGCGGGCCAACAAGCAGGCGACGGGCAGGAGGCGGAAGAGGGCUGCUGGGCGCUGUCCCGCGGACGCUGGAGCCAGACCGGCCCCUGGCGGGAUGAGCUGCCCCGGGGCCCAGUGGGAAGGAAGAGGGAGCUGCCCCGGCUUCAGUCCGCAAACCAGUGAAACGAAAAAAAGUCCGCACACGCGGGAGCCUAGCACAAUUCCUGACUGAUUUGUGAGCCCGGCCUAGCGAAGGGGAGGGGGCGACUGAGGGUGGGGGUUGGAGAUGGACGCCUGACCACUGUCUUAAGUAGAAGUGGUUACAUCAGAAGUGGUUACAUUAGAAGCCGGGGGGGGGGGGGGGGGGGGGGGGGGCCNGGGGAGCCUGGCUGGCUUUGGACUUCCGGAAUGAAGUGCGAACAGUAAAAUCGAUAAUGCUGCCCUGUGGCUCCUGUAGGCCGGUGGGUGCCUCUCAGAAGUCAACCUGGAAGCUGAUGUGGGCACAUAGGUGGCUUUCGUCCGUGCAGGCCCCUGCCCCACUAAGGGGUGGUCGCGUCCUGUCAUUGUAUGUGUGCCUAGAGCCUUCUGGGUCCUCUUCUCCGUGCCUGGCACCCGGUGGCUGCUAAAGCAAUGUCUGCCGAACGAAUGAAAACCCUCUGUGUGUACCCUUGGCUUCUCUUUGGAUCGUGACCCUCCUCCCCGGCAGCCGACGGGCAAGUCAGGGGAGGACAGUGAGUUUCAGGACACGGGUGUUCAGCACGGGGCGAAGUCUCGCGUGCCUCACACUGAGGAACCAAGCAGCUACAGACGAGUCGGAGUCGGGUGAGGUGGGGGGGGGGGGGGGGGCACGGCCGGCCAGAGGCAGGGUGUGACGAGGGCCUUCUCGAUCCCAGGCUAACAGAAGCCCCACUCUAGCCCUAUCUGCGGGACAACCGUUGGAUUAAUGGUUUACUCUCUAGUGGAGAAGAAGCGGGCAGAUUACAUUUUGAACCAUCAAAGGGUUUUCUGUGACCCUGUCCCCGCAGGGCCGGGAGAAGCCCCCAGACAGUGACAUCUGGCUCUCCCUUCCUUCCCAUUCUUUAUCGUCUGGUCCUUUUAGGAUCUUCCUCACGAAUGCCCCCCUUCGGGAGAGUUUGGACCCCAGAGCCAGGCCCAGGAAGCGCCCCCAGGCUGUGACAGGGCCCGCCAGCAUCGCGCCGUAGGGUCACUAUCCCUGGUGGGGUGGUUACCCUCAGCGGGUCCUCCCCCUGCGCUUGCCUCAGCACAUUAGCAGGGCCCCGCCUGCCCCCACCCCUCACUCAGAUCUCUAAGAUCACAGACGGACGGACGAGUAGAAAGGGCGAAUGCGACUUCUUUGGGACUCCCAUCUAACUGCUCCCUUUCUUUGGCUGGGUUGGUGAAGGGACAGACCUGGGGGUGGUGAAUGGCAGUAUUGCCUGAUUUCUCUCAAAGCCGGCCACUCGCUGUCUUUGGGAGCUUGUUUUCCAGGGGAGAGGAGAACUCGUCUCUGCAGUGUGCUGGGUCUGCUUCGAAAACUCAGCUCCGCCUUCCUACAGCCCUGUGACCUUGAGCAAAUGCCUUUACCUCUCUGUGCUGCCUGUUUCUUCAUGUGUAAAAUGGGGAUACUGCGUUUCUAGAGAUGGCUGUGAGGAUCCCACUACAUAACGUGGGCCCUUGGGGCGCCUGCGUGGCUCGGUUGUCUGAGGGUCCGACUCUCGAUUUUGGCUCAGGUCAUUAUCUCACGGGUCGUGGAAUCAAGCCAUGCAUCAGGCUCUGCGCUCUCAUCGCGGGAUUCUCUCUCUCCGUCUGUCUCUCUGCCCCUGCCCUGUGCUCUCUCAAAAUAAAUUAAAACUUUAAAAAAAAAAGAUAGCGUAGGCACUCAUUAUGGGCUAACUCUUCCCCUGUGGGCUCCAGAUGCUACUUAGGAAAUUGGCAUGUUGGGAUCUCAGCACCCCGACCCCAGGCUGGUUGCUGAACGCCUGCCUGGUAAUGCACUGAGCCUUAACAUCUCUCUCUGGUCUCUUUUUCAUCCUUCCUCAGAUUUUGAGACCCGGUUGCUCUAAAUCAGGAGUCUGCAAACUUUUUCUGCAAAGACCCAGAUAAUAAAUAUUUUAGGCUCUGUGGGCCAUAUGGUCUCUGUCGCAGUUACAACUUUGCUGACGUAAUGCAGAAACAGCCACAGACCAUGUGUAAGUGAACAGGCAUGGCCGGGUUCCAAAAUAACCUUUAUUUAUGAACACUGAAAUUUGAAUUUCAUAUGAUUUUUCUGUGUCACAAAGUAGUGUUCUUUUUUUUUUAUGUUUUUUUAAAAAUUUUAUUUUUGAGAGAGGGAGAGAGACAGAGACAGAGCACAAGCAGGGGAGAGGCAGAGAGAGAGGGAGACCCAGAAUCCGAAGCAGGUUCCAGGCUCCCAGCUGUCAGCACAGAGCCCGACGCGGGGCUUGAACCCACGGACCGUGAGAUCAUGACCUGAGCCGAAGUCGUGCGCUCAACUGACUGAACCACCCAGGCGCCCCAGUAGUGUUCUUUUGAUUCCCACCCCCCCAACCAUUUAUAAACGAUAGCAGGACAGAUUUGGCCCACCUUAAACGACCAGUGGCCCCCCCCCCCCUUCUCUUCAGGACGACGGGUUCGGGCCCUUCGUGCUUUCUAUGUUGCUGUCGUCCCCACUGGAGCUUGUUCGCGGCCACGAGUGCCACCGCAGUUGUGUUCUUCCUGCUGUCCUUUUCCUGAGAGAGAGGCGUGGGGCAGCCGCCACACAAUGUCUAUUUCUGCUCUUGUCCCGGUCCUUCCUGUCCCCAGCUCUCCGAUCCUGCAGGCCUGGCCUCCACUCUGCCUCUAAAUUAAAACAACAGCCGUUGUUAAGUACCUCGGCCGUGCUGAGCACAGUGUUGGUCACGUGAUGUACGACGUUGUCACCCAGUCUCUCAGCAGCCCUGCAAAGGAGGGCUGUAAGGUCCCCACUGCACAGAUGGCUCUGAAGCUCAGAACGGGGAGCCAGCUCCCAGGGUCACACGGCCAGAGUGCUGGAGCUCGCAGGUAGGACCGGCUUCAGGGCCAGCGUCGCACCCGGAGGAAACCGUGGUCUCAGUCUUUUGAAUAGCAGAUGUCCCUCUGUCCCGGAUGAGUAAUGCUCCCGCCUCGGUACCCAGGCGUGCCUAGCGCAUCACCGAUGACCAGCGCAGGGGCAGGAGACGCCGAUGGUGUGUGUUGGUGGGAAAACCAUGCGGUCCAGAUAAAAUGACUCCCUAGAGCCCCUUCCUGCUUUCCUCCUGUGCGUUCAGCUCAGGCCUCUGACCCCAGACCUGUUUCAGAAUCUCCGAUCUCUGCUCAGCGGAAGCACUGAUGUGACAUGAUGGAAUCUCAUUUGGGGGCUAAAUAAACCCAUUGUGUGAGAGCCAGCCCUGACCCCUGCCCUGCGCCAUUUCCUGAGCUCAGGAGGCUGGGGGAGACGGGGGGGGGGGGGCCGGUGGGAGCUGGCGGAGGAGAAGCCAGGGGGUGGACACGACCGUGGGGCCAGCCUGCACGUCAGGAUGGCGGGCGGGCGAGUCUGGGAGGAGCUGAGGAAGCCUCCUCUCUUCCAAGGACAUAAUAGACGUUAGCGGCCCUGCAGCAUGGAGGGGUGGGGUUAGGAAACAGGAAAAGUGGAGACGGAUGGAUGGAGCCAUGAGGGGAGAAGGAGCCCCAUGGGCGGGGUCUGCACAGAGGGCGGAGGCCGGGAUGGACGACAGAGGUGCUAGGAAAGGGUAGGCGUCCCAGAAGAGGCCAGGUGCUAGUUGGUCUGAGCUGGAGACAGAAGGGUGAGGUUUGGGGAUCGGAGAUGUCUGUCUCCCAGGCCAGGGCAGCAAGAACCGUCUCCGGCAGGUGGCGUCCCCGGGGAUGGAGAAGAAGGAAAGGCUCCCGUUCACGCAUCUCACCCAGCCCCACGGGCCCAGCCCCACGGGCCCAGCUGGGGCAGGAGGCUAGAAGCUGGGGGCGGGUAACUCCACAACGCUGGCCUCUUUGGUGAGGUCUCUGGCCUGUCUUGUUAGCGAGCACCCCGGGCGCCCCGACUUCUCUUCCUCCCACCCGGCUCACAAUGCCCCCUCCCUGCCCCUGAAGCCCAGCUUGGGAGACCACUGGUUGGCAGGCAGCUUGGACUGAGUCGCGCUCCCUGUGGGGCUGCCACUCCCACUUCUAGGCAGCGCAGAGGAGGGCACAGGGCGCAGGGCCGUGCUUGAGAGAGAGAGAGAGAGAGGGCCUGUCCCGGCCUCCGGGUGUGAUGAGCAGGUAUCAGUCUCCAGGCCUCUCCUUUCCUGUCCUCGGAGCCACUGGCGGGGCCGCAGGGUGCCCUCUGCGUUGGCCCCGCGCUCACCCCUUCCUUCCCUGCGGGGACAGGCUUCAGGCAGCGGGCCUGGGUGGACCAGGGGCUGUGGACGGGGUGCGGUGACAGGGGAACAGUAGCUUGAAGGAACAACUUUCCAACAACCUGGACUUUUGGUGCGUGCACGGGGGAGUGAGAUAACCUGGGGAGGAGGGGGAGGACUCUGGCUCAUGGCUUCCUGGUCCUCCCGGGUCCUCUCAACACGUCGUGGCUGGGAGUGGGCCCGGAGAAGGGGAGCCUCGGAGACUCGUGCGGAGGCAGGGCCUGCAGCGAAGGGAAGGUCACAGCCCGUCCUGGUACUUCCUCCUGGGCUGGGGCUCAGCUCUGGAGCUCGGCGGUGUUCCUAACCCCAAGACACGUGGGACAGGAACGAUGCCCACAUAGGGGAGGUGAACGGGUUUCCACGCCACGCGGCUGGUGUGGGUGCCUCUCCCUCUGUCACUGGGGAGAUGUCAUAGGGCUCUGUGACUUCCCAUUGACCGGCCUUGGAAGGACAAAGCAGAAUACUUUCUUUUUUUAAUGUUUAUUUAUUUGAGAGAGACAGACAGACAGAGUGAGCAGGGGAGGGGCAGAGAGGGAGGGAGACACAGAAUCCGAAGCAGGCUCCAGGCUCCCAGCUGUCAGCACAGGGCCCGAUGUGGGGCUCGAACUCACGAACCACGAGAUCAUGACCCAAGCUGAAGUCUGACGCUCAACCGACUGAGCCCCCCAGGCGCCCCCAGAAUACUUUCUUAUGAACUUUCCUCCCUGCUGCUCUACCUGCCUAGACUCCUCCCUCCCCAACUUGGCUAGACCCUAACUCCUCACCCCUGCAGACCCCCUCAAGGCCCACCCACUUCCUCUCUUCACCGAGCUUGAGCUUUCCAAGCAGCUACAAAGCGUUUCGCUGCGUCUUCUCCAUGGCGUUCAGCACUCUGGCCACUGAGUCGUUUGUGAUCUGGGCUUCUGUCUGUGCACACACACGCACACACACUGUGAGUCCCUCGAAGGACAGGUAUCUGUUUCUCUCCACUUGGCUGGGUUUUCUGCCAUACUGGUGCUCGGGAAAUGUAAUCACAAGUGAGCGAGGAUGUCCUAUCCCCCAGAGAGAGGACCAGACGACAGUCAGAAGGCCCGGGUCCCGGAUGUGGUCCUGCAGUCAUUCCUGGUCGUCCCAAGCCACCCGCUCCGCACUUCCGCGCCCCCGUGAAGGGAGGGGGGCCCGGCUGACUGUGAUGCCCUCCCAGCUCCGAGGUUCCAGAAUUCUAGAACUCUGCUCACCCUGCUGUCUUCUUGACGCAGACCGGCCUGCGCGUGCCUCCCAUGAGCGGAGACUUCCCGAAGGAGUUCCUCGCAGGUGGAGACCUGGUGUCGCGAGGCCACAGUCGCCGCUGCCUGUCUGUGGACGAGUCCAGAGCCCAGCUGGAGGAGGAGGAGGAGGAGGAGGAGGAGGAGCAGGAGGGGAAAAAGAAGGAGGGAGAUGGCUUCCACACUGUGCCCCUCCGAAGGUCGGGGGCUUUCCGUGCCCACAGCCACCACCCCUUCAAAAGACAUAGUUGGGGGCCAGACAGGGACCUCCAGGACCCACUGAGCAGGUAACCCCCAGGGGACCUCCUGCCCCUCCUUCCCUCAAGUCCUAGACCUAGGAGAGAGUAGUUGGGGAGGAUGACAGGGGCCCAGGACACCUGCGUCCUGGGCACUCUCUGGAGAGUCCGAACCCAGCCUCCCUCAGGCCUUUGGGGAGGAGGGACCCUGCCUUUCUUCCUAGUGGUCCCAGCUCCUCCCCAGCUAGUCUCAGGGGCUGGGGGGAGGCGGGAGGGGGAGGCACAGAGCAGGGACCCGUACUGCCAACACCUCCUGCUUUGGGUUUCACGCAAGGAUGUCAGAGCUGGAAGGGACUUGGGGAUCAUGUGGCCCAGGUUCCUCGGGAAGUGUUCUGGGGGGUGGGCAAUGCCCACCUGCUGGCUCCGGGCUGAUGCGGACCCAGGUAUUUGGACAUCACAGCACCGCCCUGCGGGGGGUGGGGGGCGGGUAGCCGCUCCUGCUCAGAAGUCUGCGUGCCUGUGCUUGUGGGAAGUCGGGGACCCGUCUCUCCCCGUCCCCUGGAAAGUCCCCAAGGACAGGAGGUCAAAAGAGAAGGCCCGGGGGUCAGGCUGGAGAGCUCAGUGAGUGGUCAUUGUGGGGGCCUGCCAGCCAUCCCUGACCCGGCUUGGGUGGCAACUCCGGUGGGAAGCCCUGCCCGCGGGGCUCCUGGCACCUUCCCAAGAGCACCCAGUUGGAGGCAGAGACGCCCUGGGCGCCCCUCGCGUGGUGCCAGCUUCAUCUCAGAGUCUCCGAGGGGUCGCCUCUCACCAUCAGGCACUAGCUCUGCCCCUUGGCAGCCCUGGGCUGAGGAGGGGCAGAGCUUGGCCUCGGGAACCAGGCAAGGGGUGAGCUUGCCACUCGCCCUUGGCCUCUCCCGAGCGCUGGCUUCCUUUGGGGGGACGGUACUGCCCAGUGGCCGGCAGGGGCCGCCCUUGUCCGCCGCUCUGCCAAAGCACGGCUCCCGAAGGCGGGUCGUUUGGGUCUGGGCUGCAGGUGUGCCUACAGGAAGGACUGGGGCCGGGCUCCUCCCUGGUGCCCGGCACUGGCCACCAGCCACAGAGGGCAGUGGUGGCUACGUGUGUUUCAGGAGCAAACUGCAGACAUCGGGAUGCACGUGCCCUCAGGAGCCCCCCUUAGUGCGGAGCCGAGAGGAGCUGGAUGCCUUCCUGGAACUGCAGCACCAAGGUGGCCGGCCCUCCCGCGUGGUAUGGACAAGAGUCCCCCUGGAGGCCAGCUCCUCCCUCCCGCUGCGCUGCCCCACUCUGUGCCUCUUCUGUCCUGCCGGCUGCUGGGUCUGUCCGCCCAGGCGUCGCUCUGACUCCGUCUGACCCAGGCUGUGUCCGUGGGCUGUACGCCCUCAGUUUGCCUCUGUGUCUGUGUGCCCUGUCCCCCACGCUCGGUGUCCUGCCUCUUUCUCUAAGACCCUCUGUCCCCCCCUUUCUGUGUCUGAGCUCUGCGUUGAUGUGGGCACCUCUGUUCCUCUCAUCAAAAGGCCCCUGUUCCCCUAACUGUGAUACCUGCUUCUUUCUGUGGACCCCACAUUUCUCAGUUUGGGAGCCGAACUUAUAAUUUGUGGGAAGAAAUGAGGACAGCGGUUCUCUCACAAGAUAAUCAUAGAAUUAUGGAACGAGAAAGUCUAUAUAGAGUGUGCCCAGCCUUCUGGCUUAAGGGAGCAUGUGUGGGGGAUCUCCAGCCAGGACCUAGGGACCUGGAGGGUACACAGGGGCUUUAGAGGUACCCCUGGGUCUGCUACGUCGCACUGGGCAACUGAUCCUCUAACUGGCCGGGGCCACCGACACCGGCCUCCUCGGCCCAGCCCGCGUUUGGAAGAGAGGUUGAGGGAAGUGGGCUGCUGUGGCCUGCAGGCAGCAGCCGGCUGGGCCCAUCUCAUCCCGCCAGCCCCUCCCACCAGCAUCCCUGCUGCCCCCUACCCCCCGCCCCCCACCAUCCCAGCACGGUGACGCCACAGGAAGACCAGGACUGGGGAAUCAGACCAACUCCCAGAUCCUUCAUUUACUGGCUGAGCGAUUUAUUUCAUCUCUCUGAAAAUCGGGAUAAUAAAAACUAUGUUUCUAAUGUUUAUUUAUUUUGAGAGGCGGGGGGAGGGAAAGAACCUUAAGCAGACUCUGCACUGUCAGUGUGGAGCCCGAAGCGGGGCUCGAACUCACAGACCGUGAGAUCAUGACCUGAGUAGGAAUCAAGAGGCAGACGCUUAACCGACGGAGCCACCGGGUGCCCCUAAAACCUGUCUUUUAAAGUUGUGAAUAUUUCGGGGGGAAAAUGCCGUUAAGGUGCCCGGGACUGUGCUGGCACACAGGCUGAGCACUGGAGACCACGGUUUCUUUCCCCUCCUCUCCCUCCCUGCGCCUGCUUCUCUCCUGCUCCUGCCCCUUCCCGGGAGGCGUUCCCUCCCCCCUUUCUCUGCUGUGUUUUCUCCUUCCUACCUUCCUGCUCUGCUUCCUCUCUCUUCUCAUCUUUAAGCACUCUCCUCAAUCUCUCCCUGUCUACACGUUGGCCUGUUUGUUUCUCCCUCCAGAACAAGUGAGUAUAAACUCCACCAAGGUCCACAGCCAAAAAAGGCCUGAGACUCAUCAGGCCGGCCCUCAGGGUGUAGACCGAUGGUGUGUGAGCCCAGUCCAGCUCCGGAACUUACUCUGUUUGGCCAUCACAGAGCCAACAGUUUAAGAUCCGGAUUUUUUUUUUUUUUUUUUUUUUUUUUUUAUGCACUCCAUGCUCAGUGUGGUACUUGAACUUGCAACCCUGAGAUCAAGGGCUGUAUCUCCACUAACUGAGCCAGCCAGGCGCCCCCCUCCGCCUUGGCCUUUUAAAUAUGAUGUUUGAAAUUGAAUGCCCAAUAAAUCAGCUACCCAUCUCAAGACCUAGCUUACACCACCAACGCCUGGGGUGUCUUCACCGUGCAGUUCUCUCCUCUCCUAUUACCCCCUUGUCUGCCCCACCCCCAGAGAUAAUCACUGUCUUGACUUUUAUCACUCAUUUACAUUUUUACAGUUUUCAUACAAAUAUAUACAUUACCUAAAUAAUAUGUUUUUUUGUGACUGAGUUUUAAAACAAUCAUGUCAUAUUGUACACAAUUGCCUAUAACUUGCACGUUCAUUCAACAUUCUGUUUCUAAUUUUUACGGACGUGCUGCGGAUGGUUAGAGCUCUGCUAUCCCAUUCUUCUGUUGAUGAACGUUCGGAUCAUGUCCACUCUUUGCUACCAUGAAGAGUGUCACUAUGAACAUCCUUUUAUCUCUCUUCGGUGCACGUUUGUAAGAGUUUCUCCAGGGUGUAGACCUUGGAGUGGCGUUGUUAGGUCACAGAGUGCCCGUCCAUUCUUACGAGGUCAUAGCAGACCGUUACCACCUCCAUCAGCAGUAAAGGAGAGUUCCUGUUGAACCAAAUCACUUCCAAUAUUCGGAGUCAUCAGACUUCUUUUUUUUUUUUUUUUAAUUUUUUUUUUACAUUUAUUUAUUUUUGAGACAGAGAGAGACAGAGCAUGAACAGGGGAGGGGCAGACGGGGGGGGACACAGAAUGGGAAGCAGGCUCCAGGCUCUGAGCCAUCAGCCCAGAGCCUGACGUGGGGCUCGAACUCACGGACCGCGAGAUCGUGACCUGAGCUGAAGUCGGACACUUAACCGACUGAGCCACCCAGGCGCCCCGUCAUCAGACUUCUUAAUUUUGCCAGUCUAUUGGUUACAAAUCUCAUUGAGGUAUUCAUUUGAAUUAUCUUUAUUACAAAUGCGAUUGAGCAUCUUUUCAUAUGUAUGCAGGACUGUUGUCUUUCCUCUUCUGUGAAAUUCCCCUUCCUGUCUUUUGCCCAAAUUCCUCCCCUGUCUUUUGUCUAUCCUUUGUUGUGAUAUGUGUUACAAUGAACUUUUCACAAAAUGGAGAAAAGUGGUUUGUCUUUUCCUUCUCCCAUGGUGACUUUACAUAAACAGAAUUUCUUAAUUUUUAUUUUUUAUUUAUUCAUUUUUUAAAGACUGUAUUUUUAACUAAUCUCCAUACCCAACAUGGGGCUUGAACUUACAGGCCUGAGAUCAAGAGUCACACAUUCCACAGACAGAGACAGCCAGGCACUCCUGAAUUUCUUGUGUUUGCUUUUUAAAUUUUUUAAAAAGUUUAUUUAUUUAUUUUGAAAGAGAGAGAGGCAGAGAGGGGCAGAGAGAGAGAGGGAGAGAGAGAGAGAGAGAGAGAGAGAGAGAGAGAGAAUCCCAAGCAGGCUCCACACUGUCAGAGUAGAGCCCAAUGCAGGGCUCAAACUCACGAACUGUGGGAUCAUGACCUGAGCUGAAAUCAAGAGUCAGACACUUAAUCAACUGAACCAUCUAGGUACCCCUGCCCCAAAUUUCUUAAUUAAAAAAAAAAAAUUAUUGAAGCAUAACAUGUAUGCAAAACAUGCAUUAAAACAUGUUUAAUGGGUGCCUGGGUGGCUCACUUGGUUAAGCUUCUGACUACAGCUCAGGUCAUGAUCUCACGGUUCAUGAGUUGGAACCCCACAUCAGGCUUUCCACUCUCAGAGUAGAACCCAUUUCAGGUCCUCUGUCUCCCUCUCUCUCUCUGACCUUCCCUUGCUCAUGCUCUUUCUCUCUCUCUCUCUCAAAAACAAAUGAACAUUUAAAAAAGUGUUUAAGAUUUUAAUUGGAGUUGCAAUGAAUCUAGAGAGUAAUUUAGGAAAAGUUGACAUCUGUACAAAAUUGCUUCUUCCUAUCCAUGAAAAUAGUACACCUCUGCAAUAUCAUUUUUUUCUGUGUAGAUCUUGUGGAUAUAGGUUUAUUCUUAGGUAUAUUAUACUUCUGUUUUCAAGUUUUAAAUUUUAGUCAUUCUGGUGGGUGUCUUAGAGCUAUCUCAUUCUUUAAAAAUAUUUUUUAAUGUUUUAUUUAUUUUUGACAGAGAGAGAAAGAGUGUGAGCAGGGGAGGGGCAGAAAGAGAGGGAGACACAGAAUCCAAAGCUCCAGGCUCCAAGCUGUCAGCGCAGAGCCCGAUGUGGGGCUCAAAUUCAUGAACAGUGAGAUCAUGCUGAGCUGAAAUCAAGAGUUGCAUGAUUAACUGACUAAGCCACCCAGGCACCCCUCCUAUUCCUUUUUAAAAAAUGUUUGUUUGUUUGUUUGUAUAUUUAUUUAUUUAUUUUAAUGUUUAUUUUUUUUUUUUUGAGAGAGAGACAGAACAUGAGGAGGGGAGGGGCAGAGAGAGAGGGAGACGCAGAAUCCAAAGAAGUCUCCAGGCUCCAAGCUGUCAAUGCAGAGCCCCAUGUGGGGCUCGAACCCAUGAACUGUGAGAUCAUGACCUGAACUGAAGUUGGACGCUUAACCAACUGAGCCACCCAGGUACCCCACAAUUUGUACCCAUUUAAAAUCGACUUCAGUUUGCUAAUAUUUUGUUUGGGAUUUUUGUACUUAUGUUGAUAAGAGAGAUUGGCCCCAAAUCUCCCUUUGUCAGACUGCCUGUGUGCAGUUUAAGAAUUAAGGUUAUAUUUGCAUUAGAGAAAGAGUUGGAGGGUUUUUGUUUCUAUUCUUUGGAAGAUUGCAUAAGAUUUCAGUGACCUAUUCCUUGAGACACCCGUCCCUUGCCUAUAAAACUGUUUGGCUCAGUGUGUUUUGCUUAGAGAAAGAUUGACUACCAAUUCCAUUUCUUUAAUAGGACUAUUCAGACUUUCUAUUUCUUCUAGAUUCAGUUUUGGUGAGUUAUAUGGAUAUAGAUAUAGAUACAAACACACACAUUUUUUUAAAAGGAAUUUUCCCGUCUUGCUUGCAUCUUCCAAAUUGCUGCCAGCAAGUCGUGGGCAGCCUUCUCCUGCCUUUCCAGUCACCGCACUGCCAUCGCUAUUCUCCCAUUCUCCCUCAAUUCAUGCCUGCCCUCUGUCCAUCAUUCUUCUGCAGCCUUGUCUGUUUUAUUUACCUGUUCCUAAACACAACUCUUGGCUUUUAUUGAUCCUAUUUUAUGUUUAUUGCUCCAGUGAUUUCUGAUUUUUAUGUUUUAAUUAUUUAUUUAUUUAUUUAUUUAUUUAUUUAUUUAUUUAUUUAUUUUAAUGUUUUUAUUUAUUUUUGAGAGAGAGAAACAGAGGACUAGCAAGGAAGGGGCACAGAGAGAGGGAAACACAGAAUCCCAAGCAGGCUCCAGGCUCUGAACUGUCAACACAGAGCCCGACAUGGGGCUCAAACCCACCAACCGUGAGAUCGUGACCUGAGCUGAAGUCAGACGCCUAACCAACUGAACCACCCAGGUGCCCCUUAAUUUUUAAAUUUUUAAACUAAUCUGUCCACCCCGCCUGAGGCUCAAACUUACCACCCCAAGAUCCUGAGUCACAUGCUUUACUGACUAGGUCAGCCAGGGGCCCUGAUGUCUGUUUUAUCUUUAUUAUAUCUUUCCUGUUUUCUUUGAGUUUGUUCUGUUGUUCCUUUUCCAAUUUUAAAGUGGGCAUAGUUUGGGGCGCCUGGGUGGCUCAGUCGGUUAAGCGUCCGACUUCAGAUCAGGUCACGAUCUCGAGGUCCGUGGGUUUGAGCCCUGCGUUGGGCUCUGGGCUGAUGGCUCAGAGCCUGGAGCCUGCUUCCGAUUCUGUGUCUCCCUCUCUCUCUGCCCCUCCCCCGUUCAUGCUCUGUCUCUCUCUGUCUCAAAAAUAAAUAAACGUUAAAAAAAAAAUAAAAAAAAAAGUGGGCAUAGUUCAUUUAUUUUACAAUUUUUUUUUCAAAUAAGGCUAUAAAUUAUCCUUGAAAUACCACCUUGGCCAUCUCCCACAAGUUUUGUGCUGUAGUUCUAUAGUAUUUUCAUUAUAUAGCAUGUCAUAAACUAUCUUUAAAUUUCCAUUAUGAUUUCUUUCUUGUUUGUCCAGUAAGUUUAUUUAGAAGAGUGUUUUAAAUUUUGUAAAUCUAUAGAGACUUUUUAAAACUGAAAACAUUUUUGAGACAGAACAAAUAUAUAGCAAAAAUAAAAAAUAAAAAAUAAAACUUACCUGUAGAAUGUAAUGAACCAUUAGGAAGCAAAUAGCCACGUAACCACCCAGCUUACACAAGAAACACUAGAGUGUCACUAAAACCUACGUGGUCCUUGUGUCCCUCUUCAUCCAUAGCCCUCUUUUUCCCGUCAGAGAUGACCACUUUCUUGACUCUUUUUUUUUAAGAUUUUAUGUUUAAGUAAUCUCUGCACCCAACAUGGGGCUCGAACUCAUGACCUCAAGAUCAACAGUCCCACAGUCCACCAAAUGAGCCAGCCAGGCACCCCACUUUACUUUUAAGCUCAAUUUUCCUAAUAGAUUUACCCCCUUUAUAUGCAAGUCUAAACAAUAUUAACUAGUUUUGCUUAUUUUAAACUUUAUAACCAUACAGCAUAUACAUUUUGUGUUCUUGAUUCUUUCACUCAAUAUUAUGUUUGUGAGAUUCAUCCACAUUGUAGGGUGGGCUGUGGUUUGUUCAUUUUCAUUUUUUUUAAGUUUUAUUUAUUAAAAAAUUUUUGUUAACAUUUAUUUAUUUUUGAGAGACAGAGAGAGGCAGAGCAUGAGCAGGGGAGGGGGAGAGAGAGAGAGACACAGAAUGUGAAGCAGGCUCCAGGCUCUGAGCUCUUUGUUAGCACAGAGCCCAACGUGGGGCUCGAACUCAGGAACUGCGAGACCAUGACCUGAGCCGAAGCUGAACGCUCAACUGACUGUGCCACCCAGGCGCCCCCAUUUUCACUUUUGGUUAGUAUUUUGAUAUGUGAAUACAUCUCAGAUCCCUCAUCUGAUCCACUGGAAGGGGAUUUCUGGCUUGUUUCCUAUGAUCUCUAUGAUACAGAUUAUUUGAAAUGUGUUAAAACUUGCCUUCUGGGGCGCCUGGGUGGCUCAGUCAGUUAAGUGUCCGACUUUGGCUCAGGUCAUGAUCUCAGGGUUCAUGGGUUCGGGCCCCGCGUCGGGCUCUGUGCUGACAGCUCAGAGCCUGGAGCCUGUUUCGGAUUUUGGGUCUCCCUCUCUCUCUGCCCCUCCCCCACGCACGCUCUGUUUCUUUCCCUCUCGAAAAUAAAUAAACAUUAACAAAAUAAAAAAUAAUUUGCCUUCUGGCCUGAUAUGUGGCCAGUUUUUGAAGUGCUUCGUAUAGGCUUGAGAAAAAUAUUUAUUUCCUAAUGGUUGGGUGUGUGGUUCAUGAAUAUUCCUACUCCCUUUUGUCUUAAAUCCAGACUGUCUCUGUUGUUUCGUUUCAUUUUGUUUGUUUGUUUUUAUUACCUGCCUGGCCUCCAUAGUUUGAGUCUGUCACCUCUGGAAACCCUUCAGUGUAAAUUUUUUCUAAGAUGUUUCCUGCUUUGGGCUCGAAUUGCAGCAGAGUGCUGAACGCCGAACAGUGGGAUUAACUUCCCAAGGAUUUCAGGUGGAACGUGGCAGGUGUGGAGGACAGGGAAGAAGAGCACAGGGAGCGGGAGGGGUGAGGCCUGACUUUGAGUGAGGGUUCUUGAUGCGAUUCUAGGGUCAGAGCUGCUGUCAUCCAUCCGUUGGCCCUUUGGACCGCUCGGCCACUGGCAUGCUUUCCAAGUCUG
rnacentral:lncRNA from 1 species